CUUAACGUGCUGGGUAAACUCACUCACUGCUCGGCCAGUGUCCAUGUGGCUGAACUGUCUCCAGAGAAGUCCUCCAGAAAAGAGCCUCCUGUUUCUCACAGCUCGGACAUGAAGCCCAUCCUCACUUCCGUGCUUGUGAUCAUAGCCACACUCCGAGGAAUAAGAGCCCAGACAGUGACUCAGCCCGAGGACACCAUCUCCGUCCUUGAAGGGGCCUCAGUGCAGGUGAAGUGCACCUACGUGUUUUCUGGGAGCCCUGUGCUUUUCUGGUAUGUCCAGCACCGCGGACAAAGCCUGCAGUUGCUCCUGAAACACUUCUCAGGGGAGGCCGUCAAAGGUUUCACGGCUGUCCUUGACAAGAGUGAGGCGUCCUUCCAUCUGAAGAAGCCAUCCGCGCAAGAGGAAGACUCAGCCGUGUACUACUGUGCUGUGAGUGACACAGUAGCUGGUUUUGCAAAGGAAGCAGUUCACAAACCCCCUGGGAAUUACAGCAAAUGUUUCAUUGUAAGUUCUCUCUAUGGCCACAGUGGGGCAGUCUCUCCCUAGAGACUGGCAUCGAGUUUACCUCUUACAUACAAAAGCCUCAGUUGUCAAUUAGCUAGAUCAACUUCAAAAAUUUGUCCAAGCAAAUUCUCAUUACCUACUCUGUCUACAUUACUUUAUAAAAUAGUAACUGUAUUUAUUCUGUCCAGUAGUACCUGGAAAGAUACCUUUGAAAUAAAAUACAAUAUAGCACAGCA